CUCUAUUUUGAAGAGCUUGAACGUUACUUCCGUCAAUCAAAUCUACAAGACUACUACUUUUGAAGCUUUUCUCAUCGUACUCCAUCAAUUUCGAGAUUCAAAUCAUAAUUAUAUGUAGUGAUAUGAAAAUGGCAUAUAUUUGGUUUGGCACAGGUUGUGGUGAGAUCAAGUGAGGCGGUGGUUGAAGUGGUUCCCGAUUUCGAUGAGAUACGGAAAUUGCCUUGCCAAGGGUUAAUCCUUACCGGGGUUGCACCAACCGCCUCAGGGGUUGACUUUUUCACACGACUUUUCGCUCCCGUGACGGGGGUUGACGAGGAUCAUGUGUGUGGAAGCGCACAUUGCGCCUUAGUCAACUACUGGAGCAAGCAACUUGGAAAGCAUGAUUUCGUAGCGUAUCAAGCAUCACAGAGAAGUGGAGUUUUGAACAUACACUACGACCAAAAGAAUCAGAGGGUGUUACUUCGCGGGGAUGCUGUCACGAUUAUGGAAGGCUCUCUUUUAGUUUAAAUCACACGUUGAUAAAUUAUUUAUAUAUUGCUUCAUUUGUGCAAUGCCACUUCUUAAUAAAAACA